rnacentral:rRNA from 1 species
AACGAACGCUGGCGGCAGGCUUAACACAUGCAAGUCGAACGCGCCCUUCGGGGUGAGUGGCAGACGGGUGAGUAACGCGUGGGAACAUGCCUUUCGGACUGGAAUAACUGGGGAAACUUCAGCUAAGACCGGAUACGCCCUUAGGGGGAAUGAUUUAUCGCCGAAAGAUUGGCCCGCGUCCGAUUAGCUAGUUGGUGUUGGUAAUGGCUCACCAAGGCGACGAUCGGUAGCUGGUCUGAGAGGAUGGCCAGCCACAUUGGGACUGAGACACGGCCCAAACUCCUACGGGAGGCAGCAGUGGGGAAUAUUGGACAAUGGGCGCAAGCCUGAUCCAGCCAUGCCGCGUGAGUGAUGACGGCCUUAGGGUUGUAAAGCUCUUUCGCACGUGACGAUAAUGACGGUAACGUGAGAAGAAGCCCCGGCUAACUUCGUGCCAGCCGCCGCGGUAA